rnacentral:rRNA from 1 species
GACGAACGCUAGCGGCGGGCUUAAUACAUGCAAGUUUAGGGGUUCAGCAAUGGACACCGGCGGACGGGUGCGUAACACGUAUGCAACCUGCCCUUUACUGGAGGAUACUCCGGAGAAAUUCGGCACAACACUCCAUAUACUCAUACUUUCGCAUGGGAGAAUGAGGAAAGGUUACGGUAAAGGAUGGGCAUGCGUCUGAUUAGCUAGUUGGCGAGGUAACGGCUCACCAAGGCGACGAUCAGUAGCUGGUCUGAGAGGAUGAUCAGCCACACUGGCACUGAGAUACGGGCCAGACUCCUACGGGAGGCAGCGGUAGGGAAUAUUGGUCAAUGGGCGAAAGCCUGAACCAGCCACGCCGCGUGCAGGAAGAAGGUCCUCUGGAUUGUAAACUGCUUUUGCCAAGGGAUAAAGAGAGGCUAUACGCCUAAAUGAAGGUACUUGGUGAAUAAGCCACGGCUAACUACGUGCCAGCAGCCGCGGUAAU